UACGUAGGGGGCAAGCGUUGUCCGGAUUUAUUGGGCGUAAAGAGCGUGUAGGCGGCCAUACAGGUCCGUUGUGAAAACUGGAGGCUUAACCUCCAGACGUCGAUGGAAACCGUAUGGCUAGAGUCCGGAAGAGGAGAGUGGAAUUCCUGGUGUAGCGGUGAAAUGCGCAGAUAUCAGGAUGAACACCCGUGGCGAAGGCGGCUCUCUGGGACGGUACUGACGCUGAGGCGCGAAAGCGUGGGGAGCGAACAGG
rnacentral:rRNA from 1 species